AGACAGAGGUGGCAAGCGUUGUUCGGAUUUACUGGGCGUAAAGAGCAUGUAGGCGGUUAGAUUAGUCAGUUGUGAAAUCCUAUGGCUUAACCAUAGAAUUGCAUCUGAUACUGUCUAGCUAGAGUGCAGAAGAGGAGAGUGGAAUUUCCAGUGUAGCGGUGAAAUGCGUAGAUAUUGGAAGGAACACCGGUGGCGAAGGCGGCUCUCUGGUCUGUAACUGACGCUGAGAUGCGAAAGCGUGGGUAGCAAACAGGAUUAGAAACCCGAGUAGUCC
rnacentral:rRNA from 1 species